AGGAGGAUGAUAAUGAUCUCGAAGAUGAUCCUCGAUAUAUUGAAGUUCUUAGAACAAUUUAGACAUCUCAUUUUUGGACCAACUAUAGAAAUCAAUUUGCUUUGGGAAUGUACAAUGAGUGGAGAAAUAGAAGUUAGAAAUCAGUUCAAAGAUUUCUGAAAAUAGGGUUGCUCCUGAUGAAUACAAGGCUUGUGAGUCCCUUGAUUACAUCAAUUGGGGAACAGAGGUGCUCAUACAAUUGAAAAUGCUCACUGUAAUUCCUUCUCGAGCCGGCUAUACAAUUUACUGGAGGAGAUGAUCAAGAUCCUGCAUUAGACAAGUGAAUAUGCUUCUGUCGAAGCCGCUCUUAUAAUUACAUCACUUUGCUACUUUUAUGAAAGGAAGAUUCUCGUUUUAAGAAAAUUAAACACUAAUGUAAAGUGAAGCCGCUCUUAUAAUUACAUCACUUUGCUACUUUUGAGAACUGAAGAUUCUCGUUUUAAGAAAAUUAAACACUAAUGUAAGGUUGUUGUUUGGGGCCGACCCGAAACUUUUAUUUGUGUAUAA